rnacentral:rRNA from 1 species
CCUACGGGUGGCAGCAGUGGGGGAUAUUGCACAAUGGGGGGAACCCUGAUGCAGCGACGCCGCGUGGGUGAAGGAGUGCUUCGGCAUGUAAAGCCCUAUCGGCAGGGAAGAAGCAAGACGGUACCUGACUAAGAAGCCCCGCCUAACUACGUGCCAGCAGCCGCGGUAAUACGUAGGGGGCGAGCGUUAUCCGGAUGCACUGGGUGUAAAGGGAGCGUAGACGGCAAUGCAAGCCAGGGGUGAAAGCCCGGGGCUCAACCCCGGGACUGCCCUUGGAACUGGGCGGCUAGAGUGCGGGAGGGGCAGGCGGAAUUCCUGGUGUAGCGGUGAAAUGCGUAGAUAUCAGGAGGAACACCGGCGGCGAAGGCGGCCUGCUGGACUGCGACUGACGUUGAGGCUCGAAAGCGUGGGGAGCGAACAGGAUUAGAUACCCCAGUAGUC